UACGGAGGGUGCAAGCGUUGCUCGGAAUCAUUGGGCGUAAAGCGUACGCAGGCUGUUCGUUAAGUCGGGUGUGAAAGCCCGGGGCUCAACCCCGGAAAUGCGCCCGAACUGCGAGCUUGAGUGCGGGAGAGGGAAGCGGAAUUCCUGGUGUAGAGGUGAAAUUCGUAGAUAUCAGGAGGAACACCGGUGGCGAAAGCGGCUUCCUGGCCCGACACUGACGCUCAUGUACGAAAGCGUGGGGAGCAAACAGG
rnacentral:rRNA from 1 species